rnacentral:ncRNA from 1 species
CGCACUCAACUCGAGCACGACUACCCUUGGAAUUUAAGCAUAUAAUUACGGGGAGGAAAAGAAACUAACAAGGAUUCGCUUAGUAACUGCGAGUGAAGAGCGAAAAGCCCAUCCUGAAUCCGAGAUCACUAACCUGGUCGAGGAGUUGUAGGGUAUGAUUGAUCCUUUGGUUGUGACGUGAGGCCCGAAGUUCGUUGGAAAGCGAUCCCACAGAAGGUGAAAGGCCUGUAGAGCUGACCGUUGCGCCGUUAUAGGGGUUAUAUCAUGAGUCGUACUAUUUGAGAGUAUAGUACUAAGCGGUGAUAUGCAUCAUCGAAGGCUAAAUAUUGAUCCGAAACCGAUAGCAAACAAGUAGCGUGAGCGAAAUUUGAAAAGAACUUUGGAAAGAGAGUUAAAAGUACCUGAAACCGCUAAGUCGAAAGGGUUGAGCCGAGCUGAAUUGUGCUGGUAGGAUUCAGUCUCGUAAUAGUGGCAAAAUUUAUGAGGUAAUGGUCACUCAGUGGCUAUGCCAAGUGGAUGGCGUUGCGAGGCGAGCUGCACUUCCUGAUCAGCUGUGCAUUGCCAUUUUGUUUUCAGUCAGAAGUGGGGCUCUCGGUAGCCACUUCGGUGGUGAAGGAGU